GUCACGAAAGACAAGGAGAGACUGGGGAAUUCUCCCAGAUUGAAGAGAGUCCACAAGCACACAGUCGAAUAUGACACAUGCUUUAGGGCUGGAUCCUGGAUCGGAUGGAAAAGGGGACAAGCUGGGUGACAGCUUCGUGUUUGCAACUGGCUCUCAAAUGAUCCAGAAAAAGAGAGAGGAUAAUACAGGGGAAGGACCAAGCAGAUCGUGAUGAAGUGUCAACAUGAGGCACCUGGACAAAGGGAAUAUGGGAAUACUCUACUCUUCUUGUGGCUUUUCUGUCUUAAAAUGACCAGGCAGCACCCAGGCUCCGGGCAAGGCCCCUUGGGAGCUAUGCAGCACACUCUGGAAAACACUGGGGCAGCUGAGAUAGAGCCCCGUGCUGCUCACAUCUGCUCAGUCCGGUUUCAGAAAGAGAAGCAAAGCCUGUCAUAAAUCAGCAAACUGGAAUCUUCUGGAAUCGCGCAUCUUUAUGAACUGUUGGUCCAUUGCGAGCUUGGCAUGACCCAACUGGCCAAGGGUAGGAGCCACA